rnacentral:rRNA from 1 species
AUUGAACGCUGGCGGCAUGCCUUACACAUGCAAGUCGAACGGCAGCACGGGGCAACCUGGUGGCGAGUGGCGAACGGGUGAGUAAUGCAUCGGAACGUACCUUUCAGUGGGGGAUAACGUAGCGAAAGUUACGCUAAUACCGCAUAUUCUGUGAGCAGGAAAGCAGGGGAUCGCAAGACCUUGCGCUGAUUGAGCGGCCGAUGUCAGAUUAGCUAGUUGGUGAGGUAAAGGCUCACCAAGGCGACGAUCUGUAGCGGGUGUGAGAGGAUGAUCCGCCAAACUGGAACUGAGACACGGUCCAGAGUCCUACGGGAGGCAGCGAUGGGGAAUUUUGGACAAUGGGGGCAACCCUGAUCCAGCCAUGCCGCGUGAGUGAAGAAGGCCUUCGGGUUGUAAAGCUCUUUCGGCCGGGAAGAAAUCGCACGGGCUAAUACCCUGUGUGGAUGACGGUACCGGAACAAGAAGCACCGGCUAACUACGUGCCAGCCGCCGCGGUAACAC